GUGCUCGCUUCAGCAGCACAUAUACUAAAAUUGGAACGAUACAGAGAAGAUUAGCAUGGGCCUCUGCGCAAGGAUGACACGCAAAUUCGUGAAACGUUCCAUAUUUUU
ensembl:snRNA U6 U6 spliceosomal RNA